GCAGGGCGCGGGGCGGGCCUGGCGACAGCGGCGGCGCGGGGCGGGAGAGCGAGCUCGGCGGAGUCGGCGCCGCCAUGGCUACCGUGGACCUGGAGAAGCUGCGCACGUCGGGGGCCGGCAAGGCCAUCGGCGUGCUGACCAGCGGCGGCGAUGCGCAAGGCAUGAAUGCCGCCGUCAGAGCCGUCACGCGCAUGGGCAUCUACGUGGGGGCCAAGGUCUUCCUCAUCUGCGAGGGCUAUGAGGGCCUCGUGGAAGGAGGCGAGAACAUCAAGCCGGCCAACUGGCUCAGCGUCUCCAACAUCAUCCAGCUGGGCGGUACGGUCAUCGGCAGCGCCCGCUGCAAGGCCUUCACCACGCGGGAGGGGCGCCUGGCGGCGGCCUACAACCUAGUCCAGCGUGGCAUCACCAACCUGUGUGUCAUUGGCGGGGACGGCAGCCUCACGGGAGCCAACAUCUUCCGCAGCGAGUGGGGCAGCCUGCUGGCGGAGCUGGUGAGCGAAGGCAGGAUCUCAGAGAGCACGGCCCAGACUUACUCACACCUGAGCAUCGCCGGGCUGGUGGGCUCCAUCGACAACGACUUCUGCGGCACCGACAUGACCAUCGGCACCGACUCGGCCCUGCACCGCAUCAUGGAGGUCAUCGACGCCAUCACCACCACCGCCCAGAGCCACCAGAGGACUUUUGUUCUGGAGGUGAUGGGGCGGCACUGCGGGUACCUGGCCCUGGUGUCCGCCCUGGCCUCGGGGGCCGACUGGCUGUUCAUCCCUGAGGCGCCCCCCGAGGACGGCUGGGAGAACUUCAUGUGUGAGCGGCUUGGCGAGACGCGGAGCCGAGGGUCCCGACUCAACAUCAUCAUCAUCGCGGAGGGCGCCAUCGACCGCCACGGGAAGCCCAUCACCUCGCGCUACGUCAAGGACCUGGUGGUGCAGAGGCUGGGCUUCGACACGCGUGUGACUGUGCUGGGCCACGUGCAGAGGGGAGGGACCCCGUCGGCGUUCGACCGCGUCCUGAGCAGCAAGAUGGGCAUGGAGGCGGUGAUGGCGCUGCUGGAGGCCACGCCCGACACGCCGGCCUGCGUGGUCAGCCUCUCGGGGAACCAGUCUGUGCGGCUGCCCCUGAUGGAGUGCGUGCAGAUGACCAAGGAGGUGCAGAAGGCCAUGGACGAGAAGAGGUUCGACGAGGCCAUCCAGCUACGGGGCAGGAGCUUUGAGAACAACUGGAACAUUUACAAGCUGCUUGCGCACCAGAAGAUCUCCAAGGAGAAGACCAACUUCUCUCUGGCCAUCCUGAACGUGGGCGCCCCGGCGGCCGGCAUGAAUGCAGCUGUGCGCUCGGCCGUGCGUUCCGGCAUCUCCCAGGGCCACACGGUGUACGUCGUGCACGACGGCUUUGAGGGCCUGGCCAAGGGCCAGGUGCAAGAAGUGGGCUGGCAUGACGUGGCCGGCUGGCUGGGCCGUGGUGGCUCCAUGCUGGGGACCAAGAGGACGCUGCCCAAGGCCUACUUGGAGAAAAUUGUGGAAAAUAUUCGCACUUACAACAUCCACGCCCUGCUGGUCAUCGGUGGCUUCGAGGCCUACGAAGGGGUGCUGCAGCUGGUGGAGGCCCGCGGGCGCUACGAGGAGCUCUGCAUUGUCAUGUGUGUCAUCCCUGCCACCAUCAGCAACAACGUGCCAGGCACCGACUUCAGCCUGGGCUCCGACACCGCCGUCAACGCUGCCAUGGAGAGCUGUGACCGCAUCAAGCAGUCGGCCUCGGGGACCAAGCGCCGCGUGUUCAUCGUGGAGACCAUGGGGGGCUACUGCGGCUACCUGGCCACCGUGACCGGCAUCGCCGUGGGGGCCGACGCUGCCUACGUCUUCGAGGACCCUUUCAACAUCCAGGACUUAAAGGCCAACGUGGAGCACAUGACGGAGAAGAUGAAGACCGACAUCCAGAGGGGCCUGGUGCUCCGAAACGAGAAGUGCCACGAAUACUACACCACGGAGUUUCUCUACAACCUGUACUCCUCCGAGGGGAGGGGCAUCUUUGACUGCAGGACCAACGUCCUGGGCCACCUGCAGCAGGUACAGGGUGGGGGCGCUCGGAUUCUGGAAGGUCACUGCCUGGCCCCAUCUGUGCCCGCCCUCGCGGGGCACCUGGCCGUUCUCACACCCCUGACCAGAGUGCUGACACCGGCACUGCAGGGGAGGCCACCCAGGCUGGUCCUGCUCAGGCCUCAGCCUGAGGGGGGGGGCGGGGCCACGCCCACGAGCCCCUCCCCUCUCCGCCUCCUCGUGGGAGGUGGCCCUGCGGAAGCCUGCUGCGGGGUUUCCCAGCCAGACGUGAGGACUCCGUGCUACUCUGUCCGGGGCAGCUCACUGUCUGCAGGACCUGCCUGCUGGAUGCCAGUGCCCAGGGGGGACCCCCGACCCCCGACUCAAUGAGGAGGCAGCCCACUGCCUUGCCUCUGGAGGUGGCUUUUAGGGCCCAUUUGGGGUGGAGAAAGGGGCCGGGGGGUGCUGCUGGCUGAGGGGAUGGAUUGCCCAGGAGGGCUCCCUCGAGGUCACAGCGGAGGCCAGGUUGCUGGGCUCCUGCCAGGGCUGGGGCUGCCGCCGCCGGCUCUCCUGGUGGACGGCCAGGACCUGGCCUCACCCACGAUGUUUCCAGGGCGGAGCUCCCACUCCCUUCGACCGGAACUACGGUACCAAGCUGGGGGUGAAGGCCAUCCUCUGGAUGUCCGAGAAGCUGCGGGCAGUCUACCGCAAGGGGCGGGUGUUUGCCAACGCCCCCGACUCGGCCUGCGUGAUCGGCCUGCAGAAGAAGGCGGUGGCCUUCAGCCCGGUCACUGAGCUCAAGGAGGACACCGACUUUGAGCACCGCAUGCCCCGGGAGCAGUGGUGGCUGAACCUGCGGCUCAUGCUGAAGAUGCUGGCGCACUACCGCAUCAGCAUGGCCGACUACGUGUCCGGGGAGCUGGAGCACGUCACCCGCCGCACCCUGAGCAUCGAAACCGGCUUCUGAAGCGUGUCCACGCCCCGCCCCUGCCUGCGCCUGCCUCCGCCCUCCUCCUCGGGCCUGUGGGCAGGUGGGCUUCGGGCAGGCAAGGCCUGGCGUUCUAGCCUGGCUUCGGUGUCUCAUGGCCCCGUUCCAUCCUGCGGCCCGCUCGGUCCUCUCCCAGGGCAGAGCACCCACGUUCCGGUCCAGGGGCACGUGGGGACAUCCGUGUUUGAAUACCACUGCCCAGCUGAUCCCCACCCCAUGGUGGCCCUGAGCCCCUUCCCAGCCCGCCCUGCACCCUCCCCAGCCCCGGGGGCUGGCGGCUGGGUUUCCAUGUGGGAAGGGGGGGGCAUGCUCCUGUGGGUGGGUCUCGUGCUGUGACCCAGCUCCUGCGUGCCCUGGCCACUGUGGACGCAGAGUUUGCCACGUUUUUUAGAAAUAAAGUCACCCCAACUGU